GACGAACGCUGGCGGCGUGCUUAACACAUGCAAGUCGAACGGUAAGGCCCUUCGGGGUACACGAGUGGCGAACGGGUGAGUAACACGUGGGUGAUCUGCCCUGCACUUCGGGAUAAGCCUGGGAAACUGGGUCUAAUACCGGAUAGGACUCCGGACUGCAUGGUCUGGGGUGGAAAGCUUUUGCGGUGUGGGAUGGGCCCGCGGCCUAUCAGCUUGUUGGUGGGGUGAUGGCCUACCAAGGCGACGACGGGUAGCCGGCCUGAGAGGGUGACCGGCCACACUGGGACUGAGAUACGGCCUAGACUCCUACGGGAGGCAGCAGUGGGGAAUAUUGCACAAUGGGCGCAAGCCUGAUGCAGCGACGCCGCGUGAGGGAUGACGGCCUUCGGGUUGUAAACCUCUUUCAGCAUCAACGAAGCGAAAGUGACGGUAGGUGCAGAAGAAGGACCGGCCAACUACGUGCCAGCCGCCGCAGUAA
rnacentral:rRNA from 1 species